GCCACAUGUCUCCCUCUCGCCAAACUGAAAACGAAACGGCGCUCCAGCAGAUUGGGUGGAAAGAGCUGUGUCUGUUUUCUCUGUUUUUCACGCUAGAAAGGGCUUGUAAACAUUGUUCCUUUUAAAAUGACCUACCCCGGGAGGUUUGGGCACACUUCUGUCCUGGGGUCAUCGUUCGUAGGUGGCUUCGGACCUGGGACUUUGAUUUCCUGUAUCUGCACAUUGUCGUUUUAUACACAAUUGCCAAGGUAGGACUGCUUUCAACUUUACUGUGCUUGAAGCUGCAAAGCGGAUCCUGUUACAGUGCAAAGAAGAAAUGGCAAACGGAUAACAGCUACUGUGCCUAGAAGAUGGUUCUGCCCUGAUGUUUCCUGGAAUAAUGCUGAGGACUGCCUUUCGGGUAGCCUCCCUAUUCAGUUCACUUCAUCUCGGAAAUACCUGACCCCUGCCUUGGAUCCAGCGGCCCUCCUGAGAGCUGAGGAAGGAGGAAAUCCUACAUGUCUGCUCCCGGAGCUGCCACAACCCAUCUUCCCACAACUCGGAACUUGGAAAAAGGAACCCAGGACACGACUUUGCUUUUCUUUUGGACCUAGUUGGUGAUUAUACUCUGUCUCCCAUGGAGACCACGUCUUGCAUCCUUCCUUCUAUAUGGGAUUUAGGAUAGAAAUUAAAAAGAAAACAUAUUAUUUUGAGUCUUGAUUUGGAGAAAGGUAGUAUUCAGGAGGAAGUAGGCUAUGAUACACAUAGAAAAUUUGAGGACAGUGUUACUUAACAAGGACAUUUCUGUCUCUGCAGAAGUCACAGCUUGGAGGAAACCAGUUUGCACUGUUUGAGGAGGAAUUUGGCCACCAAACCACUGAUACUUUCCCAAAGGUUUGGCAGAAAUUGUUUUUUGAGUGGCUCACCAGAGUACCUAGAAGAAUCAGCAUGGAAUUAGAGGACAGUGGCCUACCCUAAAUAAAGACAUGAGUGAUGUGUAAAGUCUAGUGUCAAUUUAUUCAGAAAAUAUCAAAAUUAUUCUGGGAGCUAUGGGUCAAAGUUGAUAGGCACAAACAAACAAAAACAAAAGGUAUUUUAAAUUCACAGCUUGGAUAAGUAAAAGGGAGAUGUUGUCAUUUCUCUUCUUCAAUCCAACUUUAGAUUUUCAAGCCGGAAAAAGGGUAAUUAGAAGUUAGAAAUUGUUAUUGCCAGAAAAUAGCUCUAAACCCUGAAAAAAAAAACAAAAAAAACCUGACCCUCCUCUUGGGGAGUGAUAAACCUCAAUUACUGUUGAUAGUAAAACUGAUAUCAACUCUUCGAAACCAGUGAAAGGUGAAUGGAAACCUUACCCUAGGUUAAGGUUUAAAAAAUGUUCAUAAUAUAUAUUUGAAAGUUCCAUUAUUUGAAAUAUUCAUUAGACAUGCUUUGUAAUGUUAAGUUAUUUCAAAAAAUCUUACACAAGGGAAGGGAAGUAUGUAUUAUUCCUUCAUUUAAGAGAAAGAUAAUGUGUGAAUAUUAGUUAAUAUUUAUCGUACAUUUACUACCUGUGUCGAAGCGUAGUGUUACACACUUUAUUUCAAUUAUUUAAUUUGAUUCUAACAGUGAAUCCCCUGAGAUGGAUAAUAUCCUCUUCAUUUUACAGAUGAGACAAUUGAGACUUAAAGGUUAAACAAAUGAUUUCCUAAGCUCAUUCAGCUAAUAAACGGUAGGGGACUGCUUGACCCCAGUCCAGUUGACCCUCAAAUCCAUGAUUUCUGCCACCAUAUUCACAGAAACAAGACAAGAGCUGAAAAUAUAGCCUGACUCUUGAAACAGUCAAAGAAUUGUGUAUGUUUAUGAAAGUUCUGAUUAAUAAGAUUCUGAGGACAAAAGACAAGGCAUGGGUAGAGGGGCAAUGUGUAGAUUAGAAUGUAUCACAAUGCCCACUAAAUAGUAAAACCAUAGAAAAUGAAAUUUAAUCCUUACUGUGUAGAAUAUUUAGAGUAGAUUGCUUUUUCCUCGGUGUCAAUUACUAUUACAACUAUCAAAGAAUGAAAUUAAACAAGAAACGGUUCCUUUGGUAUUUUUUUUUAAAGGUGGGAGUUAUAAAAACAGUAUUUGCCAUCUGGUUUUAGUUAUGGCUUUGGAAAUUCUAUGGGUACAAUUUGUUGUCAUUAUUGUUGUUACCACUACCAAUACAGAGAUGCUCAUUGUAACAUCAGUUUCUAAAUCAGACAGUGAAUAAUUACAUUUUCAAUGUUUUCUUAACAUAGAUACAAGUUAACAGGAUAUGCUUCUGGCCUGUUUCUGGAUUCUAAGGGUAGAACCAGCAUAAAACUAGUCAGUCCAAGUAUUUCUAAAGAUCCACAGACACAGUUCUCCUGGAUUUGGGAAGCCUAGAGAUAUUAGCACAAUAAUUAAGGCCCAAGUGAGUAUAAAAUUUUGUCUGAAAUUAAAGAGAUAUUGAUUAGAUAAUCCACAGAGACUACUUUUUAGUGAUUAUCUCCCACCAGGGUAAAAGCAACAGCAACCUGAAAAUGCAAAAGACCAUACAUUUUAAUGGUAAGUCCUCCCCAGGAAGGAUUAAUAAAUCUCAGGAGGAAGAUUUAUUAUCUGUAAAUCCAGGAGGAAGAAAUCAAGAUGAAAACUAUCAUAUUUAUAAAUUUGAUUGUUGCAAUUUUAUAGUUUGACAUAGUGCAAUUGCUUUAGUUUUGAAAGGGAACUUACUUUAGAGUAAGUCACUCAAUCUCUUUUUUGGAAAGGCCAAUGCCACACCUGAUCCUCAUCACUCCCUUCUCCUUCGUCCAUAGCCUGGCUUUAUUCUGCCAUUAACACACACACACACACACACACACACACACACACACACACAAAUUGGGAAGAGGAUUUCUCAUUUUACAGAAAGUAUGCUGGGCUACACAGGAUAUUCUAUCAGGUUUCUUCCAGCUAUAAAAUUCUGAGACUAAAUAUCAAAUUAAAGAAAGCACUAAUUGUCAGCGAUGGGGGAUGUACUGCUAUUUUCUUCUAGUGGUACUCACUGCUCAUUUCCUAUAUUCACUGGUAUAAAAAAAUUUCAAACACCCUCAAAAAAGCCUAUACUGGUGGUACCACAAAAACGCUGAAAAUCAUUACUCUCUGCGUGGUGUCCAGCUCUUUUGGUUACAUCAUCACUUCGACCAUUCACUUUUAAAGAAAAACUUUUGUGGAACAAAAAUGUAAAGAUUUUAUUUUUUUUCUUGGUGGCUUAGCACAGUGGUCUAAUGUGGCUGACCAUGUGCGCCUGUUGUGUGAGUCACUUAGACGUGCUUUGUUUCUUGGUCACAGUUGAUCCCUCAACUCAAGCAUCUCACCCUCAAAAUGUUUGUUUGGGACCCAAGAGGCAAACCUUGAGACGGGUUAUUUCUUUCACCUUGGAUUGGCUCAUCUGCUGGGAGUGGAGCCAAGCUGACAUUUCCUUUCCUUUCUCUCCUUUCUUUCCUUUUUGUCUGCCUAUCACUAGGUAGAGGCAGCACAUAAGAGAGGGAAAGCCAUGCGCGUGGAGUCCAGCACAUCACCCAGAAGGCAGAUGUUCUGUCUCCAUUUUACUCAUGAAAAGAAACAAAACCACACCUGGAUUGCCUGGCACUUAAAUAAAAUGUACUAUGAUGAUUGAAGAAAAAUCUCUUAUAUUUAAGGAAUAGUUUUAAUAGCUUACAUCUGUAUUUCUAUUAGCUUCCGUUUCUAUUUUUAAUAUUUGUAUAAUAUUAAAAGUAAUUUUAAAAAUGAACUAAUCUUUUUACAUCUCUUAUGAGAACUUAAUGGAGAUAUGAUGUUUGAAGAUCAAAGAUACAUGGUAUUUGAAAUCAGAAAAUGUGUUUGCUUUUCUACACAGAUUACAAAUAUCAUGCAUUAUUUCACAAACUCUUCUCAAAGUGUUGAUUUUAAAAUUAGUAAAAGGAGGGUAUAUUCAUAUCACAUCCUGGCAUUUUUAUAGGCAAGAUUGAGCAGCUAUAACCUCUAAAGUGCUUUGAUCCCUAUAAGCCUCAAAAAGAGAAUGGUGCAAUUUGAAUUAAUAACUACCCAUUAUAGAGCAUUUGUAUCACAGUAUUUUCCAUAUACUAUCUUAUUUAACCGUAGAGCAAUCCUAUGAUAUGGGGAUUAUGCACACAUUACAGAUGAGAACUUGAGGCUUGGAGAAAGUAAAUAACUUACACACGAUCACAAAGCAAGUGACUGCCAGAGCCAGGAUCAGAACCCAGGCAGGCUUCAUUGGGAUCCCUGCUGAACUCUGUCGAGAGAAUUCUCACCACCUGCUGCAAAGGCUAAAAGAAAGGGUCAUAUUCCACAUGUAGAUUUUGAGAAAUAUUUGUUAUUUUUCUUAUGAUAAAGGUUAUGCAUACACACACACACACACACACACACACACACACACACAACUAGAAAUUACAGAAAAGAAAAAAGAUUAGCCAGAAUGUCACCACCUAAAGACAGAUAAUAUUUUGGUGUUUUCAAAUAUUCUUUUAUCUAUACUUUUUUGAAUUAUUUUAUUUUAAAAAUAACUUUUACUGGUUGCCUGAUUAUGAAGUAAUAAAUAUUCACCAUAAAUAUUUUGAAAAAUAUAAAACUGUCUAUAAAAGAAAUUUGAAAUGAUUGCUAAUCUCAAAAUAUAAAGAUACCUGUCAGUACUUUGGCAUUUUAUCCUCCUUGUGGCUGAGGUCACAUAUCUUGAGACUGAAGCACAAAAUUUCUACACUAUACAGUUUAUAGUUUAGGCCACAACAUCAUUUUUAAAAUUGUUUCUUUGGGUUUUACUUGAUUUGCUGAUGUUUUAUUUUUUAGAAAAUUGCAGGUGUGAUUUUUAGGCAGCUGAUUGGAAUGUUCUGGUUGCUCUGAAUAGGACUAGCUACUUUGUUUUUCACUGAAGGACAAAUAUUAUUCCUACACACAUAAAAAAAAACUCAAAGAAUGAGUAAUGAUACUGUUUAAAUCUGCCCUUAUAACUCCAAAGAAUGACUUCAGAUUUUCUUUCUUCCAAAGCAACUUUUAAAAGCCUUUCCACUGCACAGUGAAAGAAAACCACAAACUCCUUGUUUAAUAAGUGGGAUCAUGUGCUUUUAACAAGAGGAAAAGGUCAAUCUGAAGCAACUGAUAUGGAACUGCCAGAGUAGGAGUUGAAAAUCUUCCUAAACUGCUGGAGGAUACACCUCUGAUAGCUUGAGACAAAUAUCCUCUUGAUCAUUGUUUCACCAUAUUUGUCUUUGCUCAUGGAGAACCAUUUUGAUCCGUGGUUUAGCCUCCCAGGUGAUUGAACAAUACUGGUGAUCUGAGGCAGACCCUCUGUGACAGAUAACAGGAAAGAAUAUUGAUUGAACAUCUACUCAAGAACUGCAAAACAGAGAUUACCUGACCUAAAGGAGUCCAUUCUCAAUUUUCUGUGCAAAUUGGGGAAGGCUGUUGAUAAUCGGUGGAUGCUAUAGUACCCAUGGAAAGACUCUAGUCUGAAGAUACCAGCCUCUCCCUCCCAAGAUCACCUCCCCUGACCAACCUUCUGCACUCCUGACAGAUACAAGGGAGCAGGCAAGUUGCACCCAACCUAACAGUAAAUUGCAGGGACAUUUCCAUUCUAAGGAAGGAAUUUUUGUGUGUGUUGCAACUCAGCUUCUGCUCUGGCAUUUUGCUGUGCAUUUAUAUUGCCAAUCAUGUUGGAGAGUCCAUGUGGUGAUUUCUGAAAAUGAGAUGUGAGAAAGAAGAGGAUAAUUUAAGUCUAGACCUACAGAUUGUGCUGAUAAAGUGACGAAGAACUACAAUCUUCUUAGUCAUUUCAUUGUAUAAGUGCAAUAAACGUGUGAGAACAGAGGAGAAGCCUGGUUUGAGUGAGUUUUUCCUGAAGCAAAAGGGAAGAGCUUAAUUUCAAAAGGAAUAUCUUGAAAGACCCAUCAACUCACCAUUAGAAAACAUGAAACGACAGAUUAUAUCCUAAGAUUGUGUGAACCUCUUACCUGGAAACCCGUACAAUUGCUUUGUCUACCAAUCCUAAACUAUUAUAUCUUGAUCUUUACUCAAUCCUAAUUACACACCCACAUUGAAAGACCUAUCUUAAUUCAGACUUCAAAAUCUUACAAACGUCCAAGUCCCUCCUUUGAAAUGCUACUAAGACUGCAGUAAGAAUACAUAGCAUGCAGUGACUGAGAGGAAGAGAGAUACUAACACUUGAAGUAAUCCAGUCUAUCAAUAGGGGAUGGACUACUUCGAUUUAAAGCGAUUUACAAAAGGAUUUGGAUACCUCAUCUCUCCUGUUUCGCCAAGGUCUUGACUUAUCGCUGCAGGUUGUAUAAUUAGUCUCAUUAAUCUAGCAAAUGAUGGCAAAAUGCUUGGUAAUGAUGUCUAACUGGGGCCUUUCCAAGGAACCUUUGUUGUUUAAUUAGGAGAUAAUGGAUGAGCUUGUAGAGAGACCAGGGUUAUAAAAGGCAGUAGCAUGUCAAUGUGCUCAUGCCUAGUUCAAUACAAUGGUUUUUAAUCCAAGUAUUCAAAUAAAUUGACAUAUUGUAGGUACAUGAAUUUAAAAGGGGUCAUUAUUCACUAACUAUAUUUUAACAUAUGCUUAGAGCAACCCAUUACUGCUGGGGAUAAUAAACGGUGCCCAGAUGAACAACCACAUUGCAUACAAAGGAUGGUGUCUGAGAUCACUACUGGGCCCGACUUAGCCACCAUCUUUCCAUAUAGAAUCAUAGGUUUGGAAAUUUAUCCCUUCUAUGGAUGAAGCACCAAACUAUUAAACUGCAAAACCAUUCUGUAUUUAUUCUUUCUAGCUGCAGUUCCCUUGACAAUAAAUGAAGAGUUUGUCCUCUGAUUAUGUUUGAUUUGUUCUCUUAUUUACCCCAAAAGAUUAUAUUAAAAUUUAUAUUUCAGUUUGGAUGGUUUCAGUUGUAAGUAACCAAAAAGCAAACUCAGACUGUCUUAAACCAAAAGGGAGAUCUAGUGGCUAGAGGCAGAGGAGGCUUAGCUCUUGAAUCAGAGUCCUGGUUUUAGUCUUUGAUGUUUCUCUCCACCCUGCCCUUCUCUGACACUCAAAUUUCAUGGGUGCUACACGUAGAGGGAGGGUAGCAUGGAAGUUGUGGAGAUAACUACUAUGUCUACUUACAUGUCCACGAGUAACCUCAUCACCACGUUGGGAGAAGCUACAUACGAUACUUUUUGGGAGAAACUGAGCUCCGGAGCUGCUUGGUCAAUCUCCCUGUAACCGAAUCACAGGUUCACUUGAUCACCACCUGCAGAGUCCAAUCGACAAGAGCAAGAUGACUAAACCCAUUGAGAUAAAUCUCCUGAGGUUUUCCUGGAGUUGGAAGAAUCCAUCUAUUUUGCUAGAGAAGCAGAGGUAAAACUCUUUUCCUUCAAAAGGCUUUGGGGAGUUGUAAUGUCUAAGAUACCCAAGGAAUCCCAAGGCAGAUGUGUUAUGAAAUGCUAGCAUCAAUUAAGUAAUUCAUUUAUUCCAUCUAUGACCCUCAGUCACAGGCCACCAAAACACCCCUAUAGUUAAAAAAGUUGGGCUUAUUACUUAUUGCAGCAAGAGAGAACACACACCACGGAGGAAAUGGGGUGGCCCCGUAAGAGGUGUUGAAAACAAACAAUGAUAGGAUUUAGGCUUUGACUGGGUGAGCUGGGAGGGGGCUCUAAGGAAGCAGAGGUUUCUCUAGAAUGGAUUAUGCCUAUGAUCUCAGUCAAUCUUCUGUAUGCAGAGGGGAGACUAAAAUGAGGAUAAAGCUGCAAUUGGCAAACAAGUAGCAGUCACUCAUGUUAGUCUAGAGAGGGGAUGUUUGACAUUUGUGGGUGGCACAGUGGCCUUGCUUUUCUUUGUGUUUAGAUGAAAUUAUGAAGUUAUGAAAAUUAUAAUUUAUAAAUAAAAUUAUAAAAUUAUGAAGUUAUGAAAUUAUAAAUGGUGCCCAGAUGAACAACCACACUGAGUACAAAGGAUGGUGUCUGAGAUCACUGAAGUGGGCCUGCUUCAUUUCAUUUGACAGUGGCCUCAGAAUGCUGGACCGUGACACGAAUGUGGCCAUUUCCACUGUCACCAAGCUCCCCUAGGUCUCCAUCAGCUUCAGUGACCUGGGCUCUUUCACUUCUCAGAGAUGCUCAUUUCUGCAUCUCCUGUCAGUUCUCGCUCUUUUUUUUUUUGAGAUGGAAUCUCACUCUGUCGCCCAGGCUGGAGUGCAGUGGCACGAUCUUGGCUCACUGCAAUCUUCACCUCCCAGGUUCAAGUGAUUCUCCUGCCUCAGCCUUUCAAGUAGCUGGGAUUACAGGCGUGCACCACCAUGCCUGGCUACUUUUUGUAUUUUUAGUAGAGACGAGGUUUCACCACGUUGGCCAGGCUGGUCUUGAACUCCUGACCUUAAGUGAUCUGCCCGCCUUGGCUUCCCAAAGUGCUGGGAUUACAGGCAUAAACCACUGUACCCGGCCUCCUGUUAGUUCUCUUAAAAUAGCCGAGUGAUCUUUCCUUCCCGUUCAUCUGCUAUCUGUCUGCUGGCUCUUUCUUGCCAAUAAAGACUCAUUUUCUCCUAUCUAGACUUCUCUGGCAUGAGGAAUGAGCCAAUUUAAUGUAUGUCUUAGGUGGGAGUGUGGUGAGUUGUGGAAGGGAGGUUUGGGGAGCUGGAUUCUCUGUGAAAACGUGUAGCAAGGAGAAAGGUCACUGGGGAGAUUAUCAUCUGCAAGGCAGGAGAGGCUGUUCUAUUGUCAUUCACAUGUCAUCAGCCCAGUUAUUAAUACUUUCCUUCCUCUACCCCCUUGUCGUUGUUAAGGAGUUCCUUGGAAUAAACAAGUACUUUCCCUCC